GCCGGGCAUGGUGGCACGUGCCUGUAAUCCCAGCUACUCGGGAGGCUGAGGCAGGAGAAUUGCUUGAACCCGGGAGGUGGAGGUUGCAGUGAGCCAAGAUUGUACCACUGCACUCUAAUCUGGGUGACAGAGUGAGACCCUGUCUCAA
rnacentral:SRP_RNA from 1 species